rnacentral:rRNA from 1 species
AUGCACGCUGGCGGCGUGCCUAAUACAUGCAAGUCGAGCGAACAGAUCAGGAGCUUGCUCCUUUGACGUUAGCGGCGGACGGGUGAGUAACACGUGGAUAACCUACCUAUAAGACUGGGAUAACUUCGGGAAACCGGAGCUAAUACCGGAUAACAUAUUGAACCGCAUGGUUCAAUAGUGAAAGGCGGCUUUGCUGCCACUUAUAGAUGGAUCCGCGCCGUAUUAGCUAGUUGGUAAGGUAACGGCUUACCAAGGCAACGAUACGUAGCCGACCUGAGAGGGUGAUCGGCCACACUGGAACUGAGACACGGUCCAGACUCCUACGGGAGGCAGCAGUAGGGAAUCUUCCGCAAUGGGCGAAAGCCUGACGGAGCAACGCCGCGUGAGUGAUGAAGGUCUUCGGAUCGUAAAACUCUGUUAUCAGGGAAGAACAAAUGUGUAAGUAACUGUGCACAUCUUGACGGUACCUGAUCAGAAAGCCACGGCUAACUACGUG